UAGGGAAUCUUCGGCAAUGGGGGGAACCCUGACCGAGCAACGCCGCGUGAGUGAAGAAGGUUUUCGGAUCGUAAAGCUCUGUUGUUAAGGAAGAACGAGUGUGAGAAUGGAAAGUUCAUGCUGUGACGGUACUUAACCAGAAAGGGACGGCUAAAUACGUGCCAGCAGCCGCGGUAAUACGUAUGUUGCGAGCGUUAUCCGGAAUUAUUGGGCUUAAAGGGCAUCUAGGCGGUAAGACAAGUUGAAGGUGAAAACCUGUGGCUCAACCAUAGGCUUGCCUACAAAACUGUUGAACUAGAGUACUGGAAAGGUGGGUGGAACUACACGAGUAGAGGUGAAAUUCGUAGAUAUGUGUAGGAAUGCCGAUGAUGAAGAUAACUCACUGGACAGAAACUGACGCUGAAGUGCGAAAGCUAGGGGAGCAAACAGG
rnacentral:rRNA from 1 species